GAAAACAGCCCCAGACCACCGGGCUAAGGCCCCCCAAGCGUGUGCUAAGUGGGAAAGGAUGUGGAGUUGCACAGACAACCAGGAGGUUGGCUUAGAAGCAGCCACCCUUGAAAGAGUGCGUAAUAGCUCACUGGUCAAGUGAUUCUGCGCCGACAAUUCAGCGGGGGCUCAAGCACACCGCCCGAAGCCGUGGGCAUCCCGCGCACACCCCCCAGCAUCCCCCCCUCGAGGGGGGGUGUUUCAGGGGGGGCGCGGGGGUGGGGGUAGGGGGGGAGCGUCGUGUGGGGGAGGGUGAAAGCUGCGGGGGGGUGACCCCAGUGGGUGGGAUCCCCACACGAGUGAGAAAUGCAGGGCAUGAGUAGCGAAAUGACGGGGGUGAGAAAACCCCGUCCCGCCCGAAAUGACCCAAAGGGGGUUUCCCAGGGGGCCCA
rnacentral:ncRNA from 1 species